ensembl:snoRNA small nucleolar RNA SNORA18
GUUGAGUUCGUCCCAGUGGGGCUUUCUCUGUAGACCUACAUCACUGGAAAUGCCUCAUAGAGUAGAUGUGUGGUUUCCUUAAUUCACAGAACUACAUGUUAAAUCUGUGGGAAAGAACUACAAGACAUCU